CAAGCUUAAUACAAAACACCUUUGAAGAUAAUUAGUAGCACACCAAUUGUUUAUUAAUCAUCAAAACAAGGAUUAAGACAUUUAGGUCUAACAAUCUCCCCCUUUUUGAUGAUGACAAACAAUUGGUAAUCAAUAAAAUAAUAAUCAUAGGUUUAGUGUGUGCAUUUUAAAAAUUACUCCCCCUUAAUGUGCUCCCCCUGUCAAAAAUACUUUAUGCCAUAUUUAAAAUGUGAGAAGGCACAUAAGGGAGGUUUUGACUCAAUGCAAUGAGAUGCAAUGGAUGGAUCCUAUAUGAAUGAAUGAGUUCCAACAAAAAAUGCAUCUCAAGAAGAGUUAUAAUUAUACACAAUAAUCAUGAGUCAAAUAGAUAUCACAAUGUAUCAAAAUCCAUAAAACCAAAAGAGUUAAACUAAUAUAGCCAAUAUCCAAAUCCAAAACAUCAAAUAUAUACAUAUAUGAUACCAUUAUACCUAUUCUCCCCCUUUUGACAUCAUCAAAAACAAAAAA
rnacentral:lncRNA from 1 species